GAAUUUCGGAUUGUGCUGGCUCUGCAAGUGCACGUCCAUUCAUCCAAACCCCUGUGAACUUUUGACCUGAAGCCUUCGGGCAGAUGGUAUUACAAACUCUUAUUAUGUAUGUGACUUGUUUAAGGCAUUAGCCUAAUACUAUAACAACUUUCAACAACGGAUCUCUUGGCUCU
rnacentral:misc_RNA from 1 species